UCCCACUUCUUCUAAAUCGAGGUUGUUAGUUAUGAAUAUCGGAUGCAGUUUUCACCCAUGUGGCUGGCCAAAUUGAUGGUCCUAAGUCCACACCUGGUGUGUUCUUACCACACUAUCUUGGGUGCACCUCAGUGGAGAAUUAGUCCCAAUCGAUGGGUCUCUUCCGUAACAAUUUUCAUCUGCAGCCUCUUUAUGUAACUACUUAAACUACAUCUUAACUAUAAAAUCCAACUCAACAUGUACAUAAGUGAUGUUUGAUUAUCCAACACAUUUUCACACUUCAUGAAAUAGUAUCAUAUUUAUCAUAUUAUUCUAUAUCAAUAUGAUGCAGUUUUCACCCAUGUGGCUGGCCAAAUUGAUGAUCCUAAGUCCACACCUGGUGUGAUCUUACCACACUAUCUUGGGUGCACCUCAGUGGAGAAUUAGUCCCAAUCGGUGGGUCUCUUCCGUAACAAUUUUCAUCUGCAGCCUCUUUAUGUAACUACUUAAACUACAUCUUAACUACAAAAUUCAACUCAACAUGUACAUAAGUGAUGUUUGAUUAUCCAACACAUUUUCACACUUCAUGAAAUAGUGUCAUAUUUAUCAUAAUAUUCUGUAUCAAUAUGAUUUUUUGUUAGCCUUAAGUUGUUCACCAAAAUACACAUUGUUGCAUUAGCAGUAUAUACAAAAAAAUUGAAGUGCCAUUUUGGUGCAAAUAUUCCAAAAUUUUGCAUGCUACAUGUAUUUAUAUGUCUUUGCUAUUCUGGUCUUUAUGUUCAUGGUUGUAUCUUUGAAUUCAAAAAUAAAUAAAUUUAUUACAAGUGCACAUAUUUAAUCCAACCUCAGAGUGCUAUCUCUCGGAUAUUGCCACUGUUGUAUAUAAUGUUCUAUCUAUAAGAUAGAGCAGGAAAUACUAUUAAUUGAUUCAUAAUUUAAAAAAAAAUUGUAAACCCAUAGGAAUUGAUCAAGAAGGAGAACUCAUACGUUUUUAAUCCACUCAACCACUAAAUGGCACAAGAAACAAAACUGAAAAAGAUAAUUAUGAUCAAUAAUAUAUAAUACUAAUAUAAUAUAUAUUAAUAUUAUUUAUAUUAUUUAUAUU
rnacentral:lncRNA from 1 species